rnacentral:rRNA from 1 species
UACGAAGGGGGCUAGCGUUGCUCGGAAUUACUGGGCGUAAAGCGCACGUAGGCGGAUUGUUAAGUCGGGGGUGAAAUCCUGGAGCUCAACUCCAGAACUGCCUUCGAUACUGGCGAUCUCGAGUUCGGGAGAGGUGAGUGGAACUGCGAGUGUAGAGGUGAAAUUCGUAGAUAUUCGCAAGAACACCAGUGGCGAAGGCGGCUCCCUGGCCCGAUACUGACGCUGAGGCACGAAAGCGUGGGGAGCAAACAGG